AUAUAUAUUUGUACACUAA
rnacentral:snRNA from 1 species